UCAAACUUGGUCAUUUAGAGGAAGUAAAAGUCGUAACAAGGUUUCCGUAGGUGAACCUGCGGAAGGAUCAUUAACGAGUCUAUUUGAAAGUGGUUCUGAUGCUGGCUCUCUUCUGGAGGGCACUGUGCUCGGACCAUGCUCAAAAUCCACUCAAACCACUGUGCAUUUCUCGAGGUCUUGCUGUCCUCCGUCAUGGGAGAAGCUCGUCCCUGGGGCUGCUUUCUUGCAUUUGGAAGUGAAAGCCCAGGGUGAGCCGGGAUGGCCAAGACCUUGUGACCCCUCUUCAAAAACCCUUGAUCAAAGUCAGUAGAACGUAUCUUUGAAUUUAAAUACAACUUUCAACAACGGAUCUCUUGGCUCUCGCAUCGAUGAAGAACGCAGC
rnacentral:misc_RNA from 1 species